CAAUAGCGUAUAUUAAAGUUGUUGCAGUUAAAAAGCUCGUAGUUGGAUUUCGGGGCAGCCUGGCUGGUCCGCCGCAAGGCGAGUACUGGUCAGCCGCCCUUCCUCUCGAAAGCCCCGACUGCUCUUUAUUGCAGUGGUCGGGUAGUUCGGGACGUUUACUUUGAAAAAAUUAGAGUGUUCAAGGCAGGCCUACGCCUGGAUACAUUAGCAUGGAAUAAUGGAAGAGGACCUCGGUCCUAUUUUGUUGGUUUCCAGGACCGAAGUAAUGAUUAAGAGGGACAGUUGGGGGCAUUCGUAUUUAAUUGUCAGAGGUGAAAUUCUCGGAUUUAUGAAAGACGAACAACUGCGAAAGCAUUUGCCAAGGAUGUUUUCAUUAA
rnacentral:rRNA from 1 species